rnacentral:sRNA from 1 species
GUGCACGUAACUUUCUCGCAUUAAGUUGCAAGGGGAGGGGGAAAUUGGGGUCCCCUCCGGUUGCGGGGCACGGAAAG